rnacentral:rRNA from 1 species
UACGGAGGGGGCUAGCGUUAUUUGGAAUUACUGGGCGUAAAGCGCACGUAGGCGGCUUUGUAAGUUAGAGGUGAAAGCCCGGAGCUCAACUCCGGAAUUGCCUUUAAGACUGCAUCGCUAGAAUUGUGGAGAGGUGAGUGGAAUUCCGAGUGUAGAGGUGAAAUUCGUAGAUAUUCGGAAGAACACCAGUGGCGAAGGCGACUCACUGGACACAUAUUGACGCUGAGGUGCGAAAACGUGGGGAGCAAACAGG